rnacentral:rRNA from 1 species
GUCCGAUUAAGCCAUGCGAGUCGAGAGAAUAAGAUUCUCGGCAUACCGCUCAGUAACACGUGGAUAACUGCCCUGUGCUGGGGGAUAACCUCGCGAAAGUGAGAACAAUACCCCAUGGGUCACUAUGCCUGGAACGGUUAGUGGCUGAAAGCUCCGGCGGCACAGGAUGGGUCUGCGGCGUAUCAGGUCGUAGGGGGUGUAACGUACCUCCUAGCCUUCGACGCGUACGGGUUGUGAGAGCAAUUGCCCGGAGAUGGAUUCUGAGACACGAAUCCAGGCCCUACGGGGCGCAGCAGGCGCGAAAACUUGACAAUGCGAGAAAUCGUGAUCAGGGGACUCCAGUUGGCUGGAUCAAAAGUCCAGUCUGAACCGACUUUAAAUCGGUCGGGUAAUAGGGGCGGGAAAGACCGGUGCCAGCCGCCGCGGUAAUACCGGCGCCCCAAGUGGUCGUCACUAUUAUUGGGCCUAAAACGUCCGUAGCCGGUUUGGUAAAUCCGUGGGUAAAUCAGACAGCCUAACUGUCUGAAUUCUGCGGGGACUGCCAGACUUGAGACCGGGAGAGGUGCGGGGUACUUGCGGGGUACCGGUAAAAUGGGAUCAUCCCGUAGAGACCACCUGUUGCGAAGGCGCCGCACUAGAACGGAUCUGACGGUCAGGGACGAAGCCUAGGGGCACGAACCGGAUUAGAUACCCGGGUAGUCCUAGGUGUAAACGCUGUGGACUUGGUGUCGGGGACCUUCUGAGGGUUUCCGGUGCCGGAGUGAAGAUGUUAAGUCCACUGCCUGGGGAGUACGGUCGCAAGGCUGAAACUUAAAGGAAUUGGCGGGGGAGCACCGCAACGAGAGGAGCGUGCGGUUUAAU